AACGAACGCUGGCGGCAGGCUUAACACAUGCAAGUCGAACGCCCCGCAAGGGGAGUGGCAGACGGGUGAGUAACGCGUGGGAAUCUACCCAUCUCUGCGGAAUAGCUCCGGGAAACUGGAAUUAAUACCGCACACGCCCUACGGGGGAAAGAUUUAUCGGGGAUGGAUGAGCCCGCGUUGGAUUAGCUAGUUGGUGGGGUAAAGGCCUACCAAGGCGACGAUCCAUAGCUGGUCUGAGAGGAUGAUCAGCCACAUUGGGACUGAGACACGGCCCAAACUCCUACGGGAGGCAGCAGUGGGGAAUAUUGGACAAUGGGCGCAAGCCUGAUCCAGCCAUGCCGCGUGAGUGAUGAAGGCCUUAGGGUUGUAAAGCUCUUUCACCGGUGAAGAUAGUGACGGUAACCGGAGAAGAAGCCCCGGCUAACUUCGUGCCAGCAGCCGCCGUAA
rnacentral:rRNA from 1 species